rnacentral:rRNA from 1 species
CAGCCGCCGCGGGAAUACGAAGGGGGCUAGCGUUGUUCGGAAUUACUGGGCGUAAAGCGCACGUAGGCGGAUAUUUAAGUCAGGGGUGAAAUCCCGCAGCUCAACUGCGGAACUGCCUUUGAUACUGGGUAUCUUGAGUAUGGAAGAGGUUAGUGGAAUUGCGAGUGUAGAGGUGAAAUUCGUAGAUAUUCGCAGGAACACCAGUGGCGAAGGCGGCUAACUGGUCCAUAACUGACGCUGAGGUGCGAAAGCGUGGGGAGCAAACAGGAUUAGAUACCCCAGUAGUCCCUGUCUCUUAUAC